AGGCAUGCUGGAGGUAUCAGAAGUGCGAAUGCUGACAUAAGUAACGAUAAAGCGGGUGAAAAGCCCGCUCGCCGGAAGACCAAGGGUUCCUGUCCAACGUUAAUCGGGGCAGGGUGAGUCGACCCCUAAGGCGAGGCCGAAAGGCGUAGUCGAUGGGAAACAGGUUAAUAUUCCUGUACUUGGUGUUACUGCGAAGGGGGGACGGAGAAGGCUAUGUUGGCCGGGCGACGGUUGUCCCGGUUUAAGCGUGUAGGCUGGUUUUCCAGGCAAAUCCGGAAAAUCAAGGCUGAGGCGUGAUGACGAGGCACUACGGUGCUGAAGCAACAAAUGCCCUGCUUCCAGGAAAAGCCUCUAAGCAUCAGGUAACAUCAAAUCGUACCCCAAACCGACACAGGUGGUCAGGUAGAGAAUACCAAGGCGCUUGAGAGAACUCGGGUGAAGGAACUAGGCAAAAUGGUGCCGUAACUUCGGGAGAAGGCACGCUGAUAUGUAGGUGAAGUCCCUCGCGGAUGGAGCUGAAAUCAGUCGAAGAUACCAGCUGGCUGCAACUGUUUAUUAAAAACACAGCACUGUGCAAACACGAAAGUGGACGUAUACGGUGUGACGCCUGCCCGGUGCCGGAAGGUUAAUUGAUGGGGUCAGCGCAAGCGAAGCUCUUGAUCGAAGCCCCGGUAAACGGCGGCCGUAACUAUAACGGUCCUAAGGUAGCGAAAUUCCUUGUCGGGUAAGUUCCGACCUGCACGAAUGGCGUAAUGAUGGCCAGGCUGUCUCCACCCGAGACUCAGUGAAAUUGAACUCGCUGUGAAGAUGCAGUGUACCCGCGGCAAGACGGAAAGACCCCGUGAACCUUUACUAUAGCUUGACACUGAACAUUGAGCCUUGAUGUGUAGGAUAGGUGGGAGGCUUUGAAGUGUGGACGCCAGUCUGCAUGGAGCCGACCUUGAAAUACCACCCUUUAAUGUUUGAUGUUCUAACGUGGACCCGUGAUCCGGGUUGCGGACAGUGUCUGGUGGGUAGUUUGACUGGGGCGGUCUCCUCCUAAAGAGUAACGGAGGAGCACGAAGGUUGGCUAAUCCUGGUCGGACAUCAGGAGGUUAGUGCAAUGGCAUAAGCCAGCUUGACUGCGAGCGUGACGGCGCGAGCAGGUGCGAAAGCAGGUCAUAGUGAUCCGGUGGUUCUGAAUGGAAGGGCCAUCGCUCAACGGAUAAAAGGUACUCCGGGGAUAACAGGCUGAUACCGCCCAAGAGUUCAUAUCGACGGCGGUGUUUGGCACCUCGAUGUCGGCUCAUCACAUCCUGGGGCUGAAGUAGGUCCCAAGGGUAUGGCUGUUCGCCAUUUAAAGUGGUACGCGAGCUGGGUUUAGAACGUCGUGAGACAGUUCGGUCCCUAUCUGCCGUGGGCGCUGGAGAACUGAGGGGGGCUGCUCCUAGUACGAGAGGACCGGAGUGGACGCAUCACUGGUGUUCGGGUUGUCAUGCCAAUGGCACUGCCCGGUAGCUAAAUGCGGAAGAGAUAAGUGCUGAAAGCAUCUAAGCACGAAACUUGCCCCGAGAUGAGUUCUCCCUGACCCUUUAAGGGUCCUGAAGGAACGUUGAAGACGACGACGUUGAUAGGCCGGGUGUGUAAGCGCAGCGAUGCGUUGAGCUAACCGGUACUAAUGAACCGUGAGGCUUAACCUU
rnacentral:rRNA from 16 species